CUGCCAUUGGUUGGUAUUCCUUUCCAUAUGAAGGUAUAAGCUAAUUUUUCUUAAUUCCUCAUCUCCUUUGAUUCCAAUUCAAGUGUGGUGCAAAUGAAUUUUAUAAUCUGAUUUUAGAAAUAAACUUGGUUCUCAAUUUUGUUAUUGAUUAGCAAAUAUAGUUAUGAUAAGAGUUGUUAAACUUAAAUAUUGAAUAUUUUAUCUUUCUUAUUGGAUUGAAGCUUCUAAUAUGAAGUAAGCCUCUUAAGUAAGUUUAUAAAAACUGAUUUUUAUAAAUUAUGUGUCUUGAUAAUACUCUCUGAAAUCAUAAUGAAGUUAAUUAGCGAUAGAAUUGAUGUUGUGAGUUGGAUUAGUAGAAUGGAUCGUAUAUAAGGGUUGUGGUGGUUAGUUCAUGGAAGAGCUUAAAAGUAUGAGUAAUUCAAUUUGUUUAUCUAAAUUGUUGUGAGGAUGGUUAAUGAUUAUUGUUAUUGUUUUGAGGUCGUUGUUGGAGUAUCUAUAUGGAGAUAAUUAUGAAGUUCGAGCUAUAGUGGUUAUCCAAAAUGUCGAGUUAUUGGGAAUUGUUUCAAGGGUUCAUUGUUAGUGAUUUUGCAGGGUUGAUGUCGAGGACUUGGAAUAUGAUUAUUGAUCAAGAAGAAGAUUUUUUAUGUUAUGAGAUGGUGGACUGAGGUUAAAGUUCGAUGCUUUGUUUGGAAGUAUUUGUAAUAUGUUAUUUGAUUUUCAAGUUGUUAUGUUGUGGGCCCCUGACCCACGGAUCCAGGAUCGUUUUUAUAGGUUUUGUUUCCGCUGUGAAUAAAUGUAAAUUUGAGGAUUCUUAAGU